UUGGAGGUUGUCUUGAUUGUUAGCUGAUGCAAUGGGUACAGGCCUUCUUUGGGCAGCACUGUUCCCUGAUCAGAGAGUCCUUGACACAUAAGAAAGUGUGCCUUAAGGAAUAAUCAAGAAAGAGGCUGUCUUCAAGCUAGGAACUGCGUCCUGAGCAAGAGUUAAUCGCCCAACAUCUUAAUCUUGGAUAUUCUACCCUCUGGAAUUAUGGGAAGAAACAAAAGCAAUACUUCAACCACAUAGUCUACUGAAGUCAGUUAUAGCUGAAGAAUGAACUUUGUUUUGACUAAAUAUUACUUAAUUUGACAGUCAAUGAACCAUUUUUCUGAUGUGUAGAUAACCUAGUGACCUCUGGAAGAAGCCAGUCAUAUUUUGUAUGGGAACAUGAGCCCAAGAUGCAGAGGGUUUUACUUUUCCCUCUCUCAUGAAAAGCUAUUUGGAAUAUGGGAGCAUUGUGGGGGCAGUGCUAAGGAGUCAGUGUUAGGAGCUGACAGCAGGUGUAUAUUUGGUGUCUUGAUACUGUCCCUGAUCCUGUUGUGGGGAGUCAGGCUUUGCUUGCUUUUCUAUUCUAAAACAUCUUCCUCUAUUCUUUGAGCACAUGCCUAUUAGUGAGCACAUGCCUGUGUACAUAGGCCACACUUUCAAUUCAUGCCACAGUGGAUUUGUCUUGCUCCCAACCUGAACCAAGGAAAAGAUAAAAUGACUGUUGAAAAUAAAUUAAUGAUAUUUAGAAGCUG